rnacentral:rRNA from 1 species
GACGAACGCUGGCGGCGUGCCUAAUACAUGCAAGUCGAGCGAAUCGAUGGGAGCCUGCUCCCUGAGAUUAGCGGCGGACGGGUGAGUAACACGUGGGCAACCUGCCUAUAAGACUGGGAUAACUUCGGGAAACCGGAGCUAAUACCGGAUACGUUCUUUUCUCGCAUGAGAGAAGAUGGAAAGACGGUUUACGCUGUCACUUAUAGAUGGGCCCGCGGCGCAUUAGCUAGUUGGUGAGGUAAUGGCUCACCAAGGCGACGAUGCGUAGCCGACCUGAGAGGGUGGUCGGCCACACUGGGACUGAGACACGGCCCAGACUCCUACGGGAGGCAGCAGUAGGGAAUCUUCCGCAAUGGACGAAAGUCUGACGGAGCAACGCCGCGUGAACGAAGAAGGCCUUCGGGUCGUAAAGUUCUGUUGUUAGGGAAGAACAAGUACCAGAGUAACUGCUGGUACCUUGACGGUACCUAACCAGAAAGCCACGGCUAACUACGUGCCAGCAGCCGCGGUAAUACGUAGGUGGCAAGCGUUGUCCGGAAUUAUUGGGCGUAAAGCGCGCGCAGGUGGUUCCUUAAGUCUGAUGUGAAAGCCCACGGCUCAACCGUGGAGGGUCAUUGGAAACUGGGGAACUUGAGUGCAGAAGAGGAAAGUGGAAUUCCAAGUGUAGCGGUGAAAUGCGUAGAGAUUUGGAGGAACACCAGUGGCGAAGGCGACUUUCUGGUCUGUAACUGACACUGAGGCGCGAAAGCGUGGGGAGCAAACAGGAUUAGAUACCCUGGUAGUCCACGCCGUAAACGAUGAGUGCUAAGUGUUAGAGGGUUUCCGCCCUUGUCUGAUGGAAAUAAUUAAUUAUCCAACCUGCCUGGGGAGAACGGCCGGUUGGAUGACACUCGAAUGAAUUGACGGCCGCCCGCACGGUGGAUGGAGCGUGUGAUUUAAAUGAAACCCACGGAAACAUACUUGGGCUAGAAUGACAUCCUGCUGACGGGUGAAAACUCAUUUUGUUCCCCUUCAGGGAUCAGAGUGAGCUGUGGGGCUGGGUUGUCCUCGUGUCGUGUCGUGAUAGGUUGGGUUACGUCCCGCAACGCAGCGCCUAUCUUGAUCUGCCAUGCCGUCAUUCUGGUGGGUCCUCUGAAGUGGCUGCCGGUGAACGCGAGGAAGAAGGUGAUGAUGACGACUCAUCAUGAUGUUCCUUACGACGUGUGCUACACUGCUGCUACGAUGGAGGGUACGAACUGCUGCCUGCCUGCAAAGGUCCACUCUUACCAUACAUCUCUUCUCACAUAUUGCAGCCUGCAGCUCCUCUGCCUGCAUGCUGCAAUCGCCACUAGUCAUAGAU